CAGUAGCCGCGGGAAUACGUAGGUGGCGAGCGUUGUCCGGAAUUAUUGGGCGUAAAGGGAGCGCAGGCGGUUUCUUAAGUCUGAUGUGAAAGCCCCCGGCUCAACCGGGGAGGGUCAUUGGAAACUGGGAAACUUGAGUGCAGAAGAGGAGAGUGGAAUUCCACGUGUAGCGGUGAAAUGCGUAGAGAUGUGGAGGAACACCAGUGGCGAAGGCGACUCUCUGGUCUGUAACUGACGCUGAGGAGCGAAAGCGUGGGGAGCGAACAGGAUUAGAUACCCGAGUAGUCCCUGUCUCUUAUAC
rnacentral:rRNA from 1 species